UGGGUGUGAUGAACUGUCUUAGCCUGAGCUUAUAGAGUGGAAACAAACAAAAAAGAAAAGAUUUAGUAUAUAUUC
rnacentral:snoRNA from 1 species